CCCAAUGGAUUGACAUACGAAAGACACAAAACAACACACGCAUUAUAUGCGUGCACCUAAUGAGUAAUGUACAAUAUUUUACGGCAUGGUUUACUUUACAGACCCCGUUGAAGAUAUAAGAAAUGCAUUAAAUAAAUAAUGCUUAUGAACUAAGGCACAAACGAGAGAUCCCAGACGCAUGUAGAGGUCCUAUUACCUAUCCCAAAAUUAAAAUAAAUUGGGAAUAAAUCACGUAAAAUUAAACAAACGUUAGAAAGUAACGAAAUAUUUCGCAAAAAAUGAAAAUAACGAAGUAAAACGUUACUUCUUAAAACCACUUCCUUCCAAGUAAAAGUAGCCCAGAUGGCCCAGAAAAAGUUACAUGCUGACUUCUCAGAAAUAGUAUUCAAGUACAGUAACGAAGUACAUUUACUUCUUUACUUGACACCACUGAUUAUCGUGAAAUUAGGCAAAACAGGUUCUUAAAUAGGUUCUUGUUUUCUAAAGAAAAAGCGACUCAAUUUCGGUUGGUG